rnacentral:rRNA from 1 species
UACGGAGGAUGCAAGCGUUAUCCGGAAUGAUUAGGCGUAAAGCGUCCGCAGGUGGCAAUGUAAGUCUGCUGUUAAAGAGUCUAGCUCAACUAGAUAAAAGCAGUGGAAACUACAUAGCUAGAGUACGUUCGGGGCAGAGGGAAUUCCUGGUGUAGCGGUGAAAUGCGUAGAGAUCAGGAAGAACACCAGUGGCGAAGGCGCUCUGCUAGGCCGUAACUGACACUGAGGGACGAAAGCUAGGGGAGCGAAUGGG